UACGAAGGGGGCGAGCGUUGUUCGGAAUUACUGGGCGUAAAGGGCGCGUAGGCGGCCGAUCAAGUUAGAUGUGAAAGUCCUGGGCUUAACCUGGGGACUGCAUUUGAUACUGAUUGGCUUGAAUUCGGGAGAGGAUAGCGGAAUUCCCAGUGUAGAGGUGAAAUUCGUAGAUAUUGGGAAGAACACCGAUGGCGAAGGCAGCCAUCUGGACCGACACUGACGCUGAGGCGCGAAAGCGUGGGGAGCAAACAGG
rnacentral:rRNA from 1 species